CUCCACAAAGCAAAACAUUAGGUUUCUUGAUUCAAGAUCAAAACUUUACACGAAGGAUAAAUUCGAAAAUUGUGACAAACAUUAGUAGUCUCUCAGUCACAUGAAAUAGAAACUAACAUUGAGGCCAAGAUCGAAACUUUACAAUCAUUGAACACCAAAAUCUGCAAAUUUGAGCACUCUAUUUCUUAAACUCCCUCCCCAGUAGAGAAACCAUCCCCUUUUGAUCCUUUCUUCUUCUGUCUCUUGGCAUCUCAGAUCAUCGCAGCUGCAGAAGAAGAAGACACGACGGUGGCAAUUGAGGGAAUGUUACCGAUUGUGGCGGCCUUGAAUGAAGAAGAGUGAGAAGAGACUAGCUAGAACUCGGCGUGAGCGUAAUGCUGAGAGCAGCUCCGGUGUUUGUGAGAAUCAUAGCGUAAACAGAGUCUGCGUAACAUUUCUUUGUUCUCGAUCUUGACUUGAGCACAACUCAUCUUCUUCCUUCCUCUCUGUAAGUCAAGUGCUCUCUCUACCCAUUAGAUUUUUCUGAUUUGUGAAACCAACAGAUUAAUGAUAAAUUUUUCUGGUUUGUAGAGAUUCAGAAAAAAAAAAAUGAAAGAAACGACGACAAUGGAACAGGGAUGAGUCUAAUAAAAUCAGGAUAACAUUAGAUCUGUAUAGGAGAUAUAUCAGUUUUGUCAUGAUCUAUAACAUUAGAUCUAAGCCGUCCAAAAUUGCAAUAAAUCUAUGGCUGUAAAUCAAUCCCACCCAUUUAUUUGUUAAGUUGGUCAGGUGAUGGUUGAGCAUGAACUAGAAAGGUUAGAUCUCAACAGAUGGUUGUGAAAAAGUGUCUAACCUUAUGUGAAUCUCGAAACUGCUCCGAAAGAAAUGAUUCAAGGAACGUAGUAAUAAGAAUCAUUACUAACUGAACGUCUUUCCAAGGCCGAUAUUUCUGUUUAGGGUAAACAAAAGCCUACGUGAACUCUUCUUAUCCUCAUUUUUCCAAAGGCAAAAAUAAAAGAAAAGUAGAAAACCAUUGUUC
rnacentral:lncRNA from 1 species